rnacentral:rRNA from 1 species
UGGGGAAUUUUGGACAAUGGGCGAAGCCUGAUCCAGCAAUGCCGCGUGUGUGAAGAAGGCCUUCGGGUUGUAAAGCACUUUUGUCCGGAAAGAAAUCCUUGGCUCUAAUACAGUCGGGGGAUGACGGUACCGGAAGAAUAAGCACCGGCUAACUACGUGCCAGCAGCCGCGGUAAUACGUAGGGUGCAAGCGUUAAUCGGAAUUACUGGGCGUAAAGCGUGCGCAGGCGGUUUGCUAAGACCGAUGUGAAAUCCCCGGGCUCAACCUGGGAACUGCAUUGGUGACUGGCAGGCUAGAGUAUGGCAGAGGGGGGUAGAAUUCCACGUGUAGCAGUGAAAUGCGUAGAGAUGUGGAGGAAUACCGAUGGCGAAGGCAGCCCCCUGGGCCAAUACUGACGCUCAUGCACGAAAGCGUGGGGAGCAAAACAGGAUUAGAUACCCUGGUAGUCCACGCCCUAAACGAUGUCAACUAGUUGUUGGGGAUUCAUUUCCUUAGUAACGUAGCUAACGCGUGAAGUUGACCGCCUGGGGAGUACGGUCGCAAGAUUAAAACUUAAAGGAAUUGACGGGGUCAUAGCUGUUUCCU